rnacentral:lncRNA from 1 species
GAGCUGUUUUUCGGCGCUCGGCUGUGGUUCCUUGAACGAUUGCUUGGGCGUUCCUCCUUUGAUGUCUGGGGCGUUCUUGUAUUCGGUGAUCUUUUGCGCCGUCUUCUUGCUUGAUGUCUCCUGAGCGGCGGCGGCGCCGGGUCGAGGGCUGAGUUGUCCGCGAGGCCCCGCGCUCAAGCCGCCUUCUCCUGCCGGUCGGUAGAACGGACCCCUUCCUUUAUUCCUGUCUCCUCUUUCUUUUUCCCUGUGGCUCAGCCCGUUCGCUGGACUGCAAACCGAGCUCCCGUCUGCCUUGCAGUGGAGAAGAGAAAGAGAAAAUGAGUGAGAAAGAUUUCCAUGAGGACAACUUACAAGGACCUGUAUGGCCUCAUUUUAGCUGCUUCAGUGUGUUGGAGCUGUUACUUGCUCCUUCAUUUCCUGGGCCUGGUGUGACAGUGGCUACUGAGCGCCAUGAAGGUUGUCCCAGAAAAGAAUGCUGUCCGGAUACUCUGGGGGCGAGAACGGGGUGCUCGGGCCAUGGGA